rnacentral:rRNA from 1 species
UAGAGUUUGAUCAUGGCUCAGAUUGAACGCUGGCGGCAGGCCUAACACAUGCAAGUCGAGCGGUAGAGAGAAGCUUGCUUCUCUUGAGAGCGGCGGACGGGUGAGUAAUGCCUAGGAAUCUGCCUGGUAGUGGGGGAUAACGUUCGGAAACGGACGCUAAUACCGCAUACGUCCUACGGGAGAAAGCAGGGGACCUUCGGGCCUUGCGCUAUCAGAUGAGCCUAGGUCGGAUUAGCUAGUUGGUGAGGUAAUGGCUCACCAAGGCGACGAUCCGUAACUGGUCUGAGAGGAUGAUCAGUCACACUGGAACUGAGACACGGUCCAGACUCCUACGGGAGGCAGCAGUGGGGAAUAUUGGACAAUGGGCGAAAGCCUGAUCCAGCCAUGCCGCGUGUGUGAAGAAGGUCUUCGGAUUGUAAAGCACUUUAAGUUGGGAGGAAGGGCAGUUACCUAAUACGUAAUUGUUUUGACGUUACCGACAGAAUAAGCACCGACAA